rnacentral:rRNA from 1 species
UGGUGGAGUGAUUUGUCUGGUUAAUUCCGAUAACGAACGAGACCUUAACCUGCUAAAUAGCCAGGCCGGCUUUGGCUGGUCGUCGGCUUCUUAGAGGGACUAACGGCGUCUAGCCGUUGGAAGUUUGAGGCAAUAACA